rnacentral:rRNA from 2 species
AGGAUUCCCCUAGUAACUGCGAGUGAAGCGGGAAAAGCUCAAAUUUAAAAUCUAAUGGUCCUUGGCCAUUCGAGUUGUAAUUUAGAGAAGCGUCUUCCGCGCCAGACCAUGUACAAGUCUCCUGGAACGGAGCGUCAUAGAGGGUGAGAAUCCCGUCUUUGACAUGGACCCUUGGUGCUUCUGUGAUGCGCUCUCAAAGAGUCGAGUUGUUUGGGAAUGCAGCUCAAAAUGGGUGGUGAACUCCAUCUAAGGCUAAAUAUUGGCGAGAGACCGAUAGCGAACAAGUACCGUGAGGGAAAGAUGAAAAGCACUUUGGAAAGAGAGUGAAACAGUACGUGAAAUUGUUGAAAGGGAAACACUUGAAGUCAGUCGCGUCGAUCGAGACUCAGCCUUGYCUCGGCUUGGCGUACUUCUCGACUUGACGGGCCAGCAUCAAUUUCAUCCCUCGGAUAAUGGCAGGGGAAAGGUGGCACCUUCACCGGUGUGUUAUAGUCUCUUGUCGCAUGCGAGGGGUGGGAUUGAGGAACUCAGCACGCACCUCACGGUGUCGGGGCUUCGGCCCACGUUACGUGCUCAGGAUGCCGGCGUAAUGGCUUUAAAUGACCCGUCUUGAAACACGGACCAAGGAGUCUAACAUGCCUGCGAGUGUUCGGGUGGAAAACCCGUGUGCGUAAUGAAAGUAAAAGUUGGGACCUCUGUCGUGGAGGGCACCGACGCCCGGACCAGACCUUCUGUGACGGAUCUGCGGUAGAGCAUGCAUGUUGGGACCCGAAAGAUGGUGAACUAUGCCUGAAUAGGGUGAAGCCAGAGGAAACUCUGGUGGAGGCUCGUAGCGAUUCUGACGUGCAAAUCGAUCGUCAAAUUUGGGUAUAGGGGCGAAAGACUAAUCGA